rnacentral:rRNA from 1 species
UACGUAGGGUGCGAGCGUUAAUCGGAAUUACUGGGCGUAAAGGGCGCGCAGGCGGCUCUGAAAGUCAGAUGUGAAAGCCCCGGGCUUAACCUGGGAACUGCAUUUGAUACUCUGGAGCUUGAGUACGGGAGAGGAGAGUGGAAUUCCCAGUGUAGAGGUGAAAUUCGUAGAUAUUGGGAAGAACACCGGUGGCGAAGGCGGCUCUCUGGACCGUAACUGACGCUGAGGCGCGAAAGCUAGGGGAGCAAACAGGG